CACAGAGGUCUCAAGCGUUGUUCGGAAUCACUGGGCGUAAAGGGUGCGUAGGUGGCGUGGAAAGUCAGAUGUGAAAUUCGGGGGCUCAACCUCCGGACUGCAUCCGAUACUCCCAUGCUAGAGAACUGGAGGGGAGUCUGGAAUUCUCGGUGUAGCAGUGAAAUGCGUAGAUAUCGAGAGGAACACUAGUGGCGAAGGCGAGACUCGUGGACAGUAUCUGACACUGAGGCACGAAGGCUAGGUAGCGAACGGG
rnacentral:rRNA from 1 species